rnacentral:lncRNA from 1 species
GGUUAUCUCACAGCUCACUAGUACCUUUACUUGCAAUCACUUUUAUAGACAUUUUUAUUGACAUACGAUCUAAGUCCCACAAAGUAAAUUUUACUCUGUUCCCCAAUUUUACAGAUGAAGAAACUGAGGCUUGCAGAAGUGAAGUCAUCCAUGCAAUGGUGAUCUCGUGUGAUCCGUAACAAAACACAGAACCAAGACCUGGCCCUAAAGCUGUAAGAACAUCGUCCUGGCAUCUGGCCACAUCUAGCAGGUCCGGUUCCACGGAUCAUCUGAAUGGUCUCCAUGAAAGGUCUGAGGUAAACAGGGCUGGGGAGCUGACCCUCCAACCAUAUGAGAGGAGGAUUCUGAGACAAGAAGUUGUGAGACUUGCCCAAGGCCCUACAGCAAGGAAACCAAACAAUGCUCAAAGGGUAAGUGUUCUGACUCACAGUCUAGGGCUAUUCAUUUCUACUUUAAAAGCUGAGUAUGCUUAUGUAGACACCUGUCAAAUAUCUCCCCUCACACACUCAGUUUUGUUCCACAGAGCUACCAGACACUCCCCCAGGGAUGCCCUGUCCCCCUUUAUGAGAUCUCUGUGCAAAUGGCACCCCGCUCCCACCCCAACUCUUUGCCCCUUGAUUGCUCAUGUGCUACCUUGAAUUUUGGAGAUGUCAUGGUGCCUCUAUUCCAGAAACCUUGGCCAACCAUUCCCCGGGUGGCAAUCUUGGUUGAUUCUUUCUCAAGGAGAGAAACUUCCUACCCAUGUUCUGAUCUGGGGUGUGGUAGACACCUUUUUCUACAGGCAUAAAGGACAGAAAUGUCAGAUGCUUGAUGAGUGGUAGGUAGGCAUCCCUUGAUAAAAGGUAGAGGCUGUGGGCGGGAUCUUCUUUGAAUGAAUGUUUUCUGUUGAUUCAGAAGAGUCAUGGGGGCUGAAAAUACAAACAUCUAGGUGUUAGCCAUACGCCAUCAAAAAAAAAAAAAGGCAGAGUCUUAUGUUUAGGCAUUUAUCAUAAAUCUGAAAUGUUGUUAGCUGCUGGGGGCGGAGGCAGGGAAAGAGAAAUGAAACAGAAGACAGUGAGUGUGGAAAAGCACCAAGUUUAGAGUAGCGAAGAUUCAGGCUUGAAUGGAGCCAAGCUCUGUGGCAUACUGGCUGUGUCACACCAAUUACUUGACCUCUCUCAGGUGGAUUUAUCCUCAUUUUAUAGAUAACUGAGAGGAAUAUUCAUUCACUCAGCAAAUAUAUUGAGUAUCUACUAUGUGCCAUGGAUCCC